UUGGAGGGCAAGUCUGGUGCCAGCAGCCGCGGUAAUUCCAGCUCCAAUAGCGUAUAUUAAAGUUGUUGCAGUUAAAAAGCUCGUAGUUGAAUUUCGGGAUCAAAUUGUUGGUCGUGCCUCGGUACGCACUGGUAUUAUUGGUUCCUACCUUCUGAAGAACCGCGAUGUCAUUAAUUUGGUGUCGUGGGGAAUCAGGACUGUUACUUUGAAAAAAUUAGAGUGUUUAAAGCAGGCUUACGCUUGAAUACAUUAGCAUGGAAUAAUGAAAUAGGACGUUUGAUUCUAUUUUGUUGGUUUCUAGGAUUGACGUAAUGAUUAAUAGGGAUAGUUGGGGGCAUUAGUAUUCAAUUGUCAGAGGUGAAGUUCUUGGAUUUAUUGAAGACUAACUACUGCGAAAGCAUUUGCCAAGGAUGUUUUCAUUAAUCAAGAACGAAAGUUAGGGGAUCGAAGACGAUCAGAUACCGUCGUAGUCUUAACCAUAAACUAUGCCGACUAGGGAUCGGAUGAUGUUAAUUUUUUAAUGACUCAUUCGGCGCCUUACGGGAAAC
rnacentral:rRNA from 1 species